AUGAUUCUUUAGUUCAUUAAGUGUGAUGAUGCAGUACUCAUACUGUUGUCAAAUGUGCCUUCUUCAAACCCUGUUAUGACCUUGGCACGCUACCCAUCUGACC